rnacentral:rRNA from 1 species
CCUACGGGUGGCAGCAGUGAGGAAUAUUGGUCAAUGGGCGAGAGCCUGAACCAGCCAAGUCGCGUGAAGGAUGAAGGAUCUAUGGUUUGUAAACUUCUUUUAUAUGGGAAUAAAGUGAGGAACGUGUUACUUUUAGUAUGUACCAUAUUAAUAAGCAUCGGCUAACUCCGGGCCAGCAGCCGCGGUAAUAAGGAGGAUGCGAGCGUUAUCCGGAUUUAUUGGUUUUAAAGGGUGCGUAGGUGGUUAAUUAAGUCAGCGGUGAAAGUUUGAGGUUCAACCAUAAAAUUGCCGGUGAAACUGGUUGACUUGAGUAUAGUUGAGGAAGGCGGAAUGCGUGGUGUAGCGGUGAAAUGCAUAGAUAUCACGCAGAACUCCGAUGGCGAAGGCAGCUUACUGAACUAUAACUGACACUGAGGCACGAAAGCGUGGGGAUCAAACAGGAUUAGAUACCCUGGUAGUC